GGAAAUACAGGAUUAAUGUAGUUUACAGCUCACUUUUUUGGACUACAGUUAUCCUGAUACACAGUUGCAGCCAGGUUUCUACAAUAACUAUGGAAUUGAUGUGGUCACUAUUCAGUUCAAGAAGUGAGAAGAGGAAUAACCGGGUGGGAGGAUAUCAUCACCAACAGAAAACUCCUGAGAGAUUUACUGGAGAUUCAGCUCCUAAGAGUGCUGAAGAUUGACUGUUGGGAGUAACCCAGCAAUAAGAGAGUACCAGGCAGUGUAUUUGUUGC